UACAGAGGGGGCAAGCGUUAUUCGGAAUUAUUGGGCGUAAAGGGCGCGUAGGCGGCCUGACAAGUGGAAGGUGAAAUCCCUCGGCUUAACCGAGGAACUGCCCUCCAAACUGUUUGGCUUGAGACCGGGAGAGGUGAGUGGAAUUCCCAGUGUAGCGGUGAAAUGCGUAGAUAUUGGGAGGAACACCAGUGGCGAAGGCGGCUCACUGGACCGGUACUGACGCUGAGGCGCGAAAGCUAGGGGAGCAAACGGG
rnacentral:rRNA from 1 species